CAGGCCGAGUGGCAAGGUCAUAGAACCUUUGCGGAAUUUGUCUCUUCUUCCACCUCUGCCCACCUGGCCGCUCCCCCUUGUACGCAUUUGCCCGAACACUCCACGCGCGCCGCCAGCCACCCUCGCCCACCGCCGUCUCCUCCACUCACCACACCAGCCACCUCCCCCGCCGCCGCCUCGCCAUGCAGAAGGUGCGGCUCAAGUGGGUGAAGAACCGCGGGCUGGACCACAUCAUCGACCGGACCACCUCCAUCCGCGCGUCCUGCCUCAUGCUCGACUACCUCGCCCGCCAGCCGUCGUCCCCGGUGCCGGCCCGCGCCCUCGCGCGCUUCCAGAAGCCGCUCGGCCUCACCGUCCCCGUGCUCCGCUUCCUCCGCCGCCACCCGACCCUCUUCGCCGAGCAGCCGCACCCGCGCUUCCCCACCCUCCCCGCCUUCUCCCUCACCUCCGCCUCCGACAUCCUCCUCGCGCGCCUCGCCCGCGCCUCCGCCGUCGACUCCCACCUCCGCCUCGCGCGCCUCCUCCUCCUCACCCGCUCCAGGUCGCUCCCGCUGGCCUCCAUCCUCCCGCUCCGCUUCGACCUCGGCCUGCCCUACGACUUCGCCUCCUCCUUCCCCUCCUCCCACCCCGACCUCUUCGCCGUCUCCAACAACCACAUCUCGCUCUCCACCUCCCGCCUCCCCGACGACAUCGCCAUAUCCUCCCUCCAGCGCCGCCACGCCGAGGCCAUCACCGGGGCGACCUACCGCGACCUGUCCCGUCCGCCGUCCUCGUCGCAUGCCCCCCUCGCGUUCCCGAUGCGGUUCCCGCGUGGGUACGGAGGGAUGAAGAAGGUCAAGGCCUGGAUGGACGAUUUCCACCGGCUACCUUACAUCUCGCCGUAUGAUGAUGCCUCAGGGAUCGACCCUGACAGCGACAUCUACGAGAAGAGGAACAUUGGUUUGCUGCAUGAGUUGCUCGGGCUGAUGGUGCACAAGAUGGUCCGGAGGAAUGCGAUCCGUUUGCUCCGCGAGGAGCUUGGCCUGCCUCACAAGUUCACGAGGUUGUUUACAAGGUAUCCUGGAGUGUUCUACCUGUCGUUGAAGUGCAAAACGACGACGCUCGUGCUUCGCGAGGGGUACGAGAGGGGGAAGCUUGUGGAGAAGCACCCCCUCGCGGCGGUGAGGGACAAGGUACAGUAUGUGAUGCGCACUGGCGUGUUGUACCGUGGGAAGGGCUUGUCCAAGCUGGUUUUAGACGAAGAUGACGAUGAAGAGGAGGGUACACUGGAUGGAGAUGAGGAGUUUCAAGGAGAGGGGAUGGAUGAGGAUGCUGAUGUUGAGUGCUUUGGAAUGGAGAUUGUGGAUGAUGACGGGCCUGGCAAUGAUGAUUAUGAUGAACGCGAUAGUUACGAUUGACACUGGAUGGUGAUUUCUGCUUGCUGCAUGUUGCUGUUUUGAGAUGAUGGGCGGUGACUUCAUGAGCCAAAGUGAUGCUGAUCAUGGAGCCUUUGCAGUCUUGGCAACUUCUGUAGGACAAAUGAUUUGAGCUUGCCACGAUUAUUCUGAAGCCACGUUCUUCCUUUCUUGUUUUCUUAAAAAUGGUGCGGUUUUGGUUAUGUCUGGCUUAAUUUGCCCCGCAUAAAAUUUCUUUAGCAAGUUCAAUGUGACUUUCAGUGAUAAUUUUAGAGGUUACAAGUCUUAAAUGCUGUAUUAAAAUCUGAAAUGCUCAUAAACUGCUACCACUUUCAAGUAUCUUGGGUUUUUCAACUGGCGCCUCCAAGGCUCCAACUCCAAGGUUAGGAAAUCAGGUGGUAUGCUCUUCUGCUUCAGUUCACUUCUUGAAUUUGGCAGAUGAUUUUCUGCUCCAUUGUCAGAGCAUCAAUAGUGUGUGUAAUGUUAAGUCAUCUUCUCAGUCUCAGUGUGCACUGUGCACACCUGGGUGAUUGAUAUAAGUUGCUUUACGAAGUCUUGCCAAUUGAAGUUGCUUAGUGUGGGUAUCAGUUCCUCUGGGAAUGCUAGAAAUUGUUUUUGUUUCCAUCAUAAACGGUGCUGAUAUGUUGAGCUGCUUUGAUCAACCCCGGUCUUAGCUGCACUUAUCUGCGUUUGCCGGCCAAAGAAUUAUUUGUCCAGGUUUCUUGCCCUCUUUUCAUUUUGCUAUCAGAAUUCCUUGGACUUCAUAAUUUGCUAGGCAGUUUGUCCCGUGCUGAUGUAAAUGCUGAAGAUGGGAUGUUGUAAACUUGUUACUGAUUCAAUUGUGCAUCUGUAUUGCACCUGUUGGUGAAUCAAUAGUACCGGCUAUCUGUCUACACAUAAAUAAAUAUGGUCUUGAUAUCCGUUUGAAAACAAUUUGUUUGGCGAUACCAUCGGGGCGAUACCAUCGGGGCAUCAGGUGAGGUGACAUGCUCAGUUCGCCACAUUUUUUUGUACUGAAUGCCAGAGUGCUAGCGUUAGGUGGCCCAGCGGACUGCAUACUUUGUUCCAUGAUUUGUUGCUUGUUGAUGUAAAUGCAAAAGAUGGAACAUUGUAAACUUGUAAGUGAACCGAUUCUGCCUGUGUAAUUCAGUGGAUACAACAAACUGUCACGGUAUGGAGUCACAUAUCUUCAGGACAAUGGGAAAUUUCAGGUUUCUGAGGACAGAAUCACAGCAAGCCACCAGCUUUUCAUUCAGCCUUUUAAAAUUACACUGAAAUUUUCAUAUGCAUAAAACAUAUAUAUUGUAGCAUGUUGCACCGACCAUUCUUAAGAUGUUUGUUUUGCUUUUAUGGUGGCAGCAAGGCUCCAAGAACAAAGCAUUGGCUGGGGCUCUGUCCAUUUAUUUACCCCUUGUGGUACAAUUGUCGCAUGAUCCUCCACUAUAUUUUCUUUCUUGCUUAUCUUUUCUUGCGCUAUUCAAAUGCUCAACUUAUAGUACAGGAUCCUCGAAAUGCCACAUGCUUGUUCUAUUUUUUUUCUACUGGAUGUAAAAAUUACAUCAUCCUCCAGCAUCCCAAAGUUUUACCAAGGAAAACAAGAAGGCAAG